rnacentral:rRNA from 1 species
AUGGACUUCGUCUUCGUGGAGAAGCUCCUCGUGGGCCUCCUCGCGGCCGUGGUGGGCGCCAUCGUCGUGUCCAAGAUCCGGGGCCGCAAGCUGCGGCUGCCGCCGGGCCCCUUCCCGGUGCCCAUCUUCGGCAACUGGCUGCAGGUCGGCGACGACCUGAACCACCGCAACCUGGCGGCGAUGGCGCGCAAGUUCGGCGAGGUCUUCCUCCUCCGCAUGGGCCAGCGCAACCUGGUGGUGGUCUCCUCCCCGCCGCUGGCCCGCGAGGUGCUCCACACGCAGGGCGUGGAGUUCGGGUCCCGCACCCGCAACGUGGUGUUCGACAUCUUCACCGGCGAGGGCCAGGACAUGGUGUUCACCGUGUACGGCGACCACUGGCGCAAGAUGCGGCGCAUCAUGACCGUGCCCUUCUUCACCAACAAGGUGGUGCAGCAGUACCGGCCCGGGUGGGAGGCCGAGGCGGCCUUCGUGGUGGACAACGUCCGCGCCGACCCCAGGGCCGCCACCGAUGGCGUCGUGCUCCGCCGCCACCUGCAGCUCAUGAUGUACAACAACAUGUACCGCAUCAUGUUCGACCGGCGGUUCGAGAGCAUGGACGACCCGCUGUUCCUCCGCCUCCGGGCGCUCAACGGCGAGCGCAGCCGCCUCGCGCAGAGCUUCGAGUACAACUACGGCGACUUCAUCCCCGUCCUCCGCCCCUUCCUCCGCGGCUACCUCCGGCUCUGCAAGGAGGUCAAGGAGACCCGCCUCAAGCUCUUCAAGGAUUACUUCCUGGACGAGAGGAAGAAGCUGGUGAGCACCAAGGCCGUGGAAGACAACGGUGGGCUCAAGUGCGCCAUUGAUCACAUCCUGGAGGCGGAGCAGAAGGGGGAGAUCAACGAGGACAACGUCCUCUACAUCAUCGAGAACAUCAACGUCGCAGCGAUCGAGACGACGCUGUGGUCGAUCGAGUGGGGGCUGGCGGAGCUGGUGAACCACCCGGAGAUCCAGCAGAAGCUGCGGGACGAGAUGGACGCGGUGCUGGGCGUCGGGCACCAGAUCACGGAGCCCGACACGCACAAGCUCCCCUACCUGCAGGCGGUGAUCAAGGAGACGCUGCGGCUGCGCAUGGCCAUCCCGCUGCUGGUGCCCCACAUGAACCUCCACGACGCCAAGCUCGCCGGCUACAACAUCCCCGCCGAGAGCAAGAUCCUCGUCAACGCCUGGUUCCUCGCCAACAACCCCGAGCAGUGGAAGCGGCCCGACGAGUUCCGGCCGGAGCGCUUCCUGGAGGAGGAGAAGCACGUGGAGGCCAACGGCAACGACUUCAGGUACCUGCCCUUCGGCGUCGGCCGCCGGAGCUGCCCCGGCAUCAUCCUCGCGCUGCCCAUCCUCGGCAUCACCAUCGGCCGCCUCGUCCAGAACUUCGUGCUCACGCCGCCGCCCGGCCAGGACAAGCUUGACACGACUGAGAAGGGUGGCCAGUUCAGCCUCCACAUCCUCAAGCACUCCACCAUCGUCGCCAAGCCCAGAGUGUUCUAA